AGUGAACGCUGGCGGUAGGCCUAACACAUGCAAGUCGAACGGCAGCACAGGAGAGCUUGCUCUCUGGGUGGCGAGUGGCGGACGGGUGAGGAAUACAUCGGAAUCUACUCUGUCGUGGGGGAUAACGUAGGGAAACUUACGCUAAUACCGCAUACGACCUACGGGUGAAAGCAGGGGAUCUUCGGACCUUGCGCGAUUGAAUGAGCCGAUGUCGGAUUAGCUAGUUGACGGGGUAAAGGCCCACCAAGGCGACGAUCCGUAGCUGGUCUGAGAGGAUGAUCAGCCACACUGGAACUGAGACACGGUCCAGACUCCUACGGGAGGCAGCAGUGGGGAAUAUUGGACAAUGGGCGCAAGCCUGAUCCAGCCAUACCGCGUGGGUGAAGAAGGCCUUCGGGUUGUAAAGCCCUUUUGUUGGAAAGAAAUCCAGCUGGCUAAUACCCGGUUGGGAUGACGGUACCCAAAGAAUAAGCACCGGCUAACUUCGUGCCAGCCGCCGCGGUAA
rnacentral:rRNA from 1 species